GGCAUCCUCCUUACAGUUUGCACUGUCUUCUUCCCAGAUUGAGGCAGGAUGAAAAGCUGAUUUUUUGGUUAGCCUUCUGGCAUAGUGUGGUGAUGCAUUUAGGGUGCUUUUGACGCUUUUACAAUUUCAGGUGGUCACUCAGAAAGAAGCAGCUGGGAUUCAAAUCAUCACUGAAGGUAAAAGCCCUCACAGACAUGAGGACACCAAAGUCCUUCAGAGCAUGGCCAUAGGAAAUGCUCGUCACCAUUUCAACAGCUCUAAAACUGGAUGUUGCAGGUGUCUCACACUGACAGCUGCAAUUUUACUGAUGCUGUGCAGCACAGGAUAUCCACUCUCAUUACGUUUCAAGACACAGGAAAUGCAACUCAGUAUCUGAAUGCAUAAGAAGGAAGGAACCUUUUAAAGUUCAAGGAUUCAAGAAGCCUGUUGACAGCAAUACACACUGGUAUAUAAAAAUCUAUUACAGACUUUAAUACUUACAUGUGCUGGCUUCCAAGCCCCCAAAAGCCCCCACUGAGGAGGUUCACAAAUGGGAAGUGAAGAAUAACAGGCACUUGAAUCCUUAUUGUGAAGACUAACUGAAGAGAAGUAUGCAAAACAUAAGGUGCUACACAGAAACCUUUGAAUCAGAAUGGGUAGCUACACAAAUAAUAAACAAAAUAAAAAUA